rnacentral:misc_RNA from 1 species
UGAGUCCAAAAAAUAUUUUGAAUAAGUUGAAAUUUAAUCAUGUGCCAUAAUAUGUGUAUAAUAAUCUAACAUUGCCACGUUCAAAAUAAUUUUCCCCGUUUUCGUCUGUUAAUAGAAAACAUACUCUAAAUGUAAUUUAUAGGACGAGGGAGUAUUAUCUUAUUUCAUACCUCAUGCAUUCUAUCGCCAAGAAUUAGUCAUUAAUGAAAAGAGAAUCAGUUGAUGAAUGUAGUGUAUUUUCUGUGAUAUUUUGUUAAAAAAAGUUUUUAUUUUACUAAAACUACAUUAUUUUUUUCGAUAAAAAAUUAAAAUUAAAUUGAAUAUUCUCUGAAUAGCUAAUUUUUAGCAUAUUAAGAAUACUUAAAAUAUAUUUAUCAUGAGAUUUUUGUACCUUAAUGACGACCAUUAGAAGACCUACUAAUAAUGAAUGAUAAAAAAAUGUUAAGUGCUAGUGUAUAGUUACAUUGGAUAGAAUUACUCUACUAAAUAAUAUUAUAUAAUUUAGUGACCAUUUUCAUAAAUGAUUUAUAGAAGAAAUAUUAUAGUUACUCUGCAAGAAUCAACGUUUAAUAUGAAUUGUUCCAAACAGUCAAUUUUGAUAGUAUUUACCUUAUUUGUAUCAUCUUCAAUAUCAUUUAAUAUCAAUGUUCCUUCAAAAAUAAUUUACUCACCGUUAAAAUAUUGUCAAGAUGAAAAAUGCAUGUUCGGUUUCUCAGUUGCUCAACAUAAAGUAAAAAACGGAACAUCAUGGCUACUAGUCGGUGCUCCUGAGGCAGAUUUAAAUAUCGCAGGAAUAAAAAAAUCUGGAGGUGUAUAUAGGUGUUCUCCAGAAAUAUCUGGUUCUUGUGAAAUAAUUCCUUUUGAUAUGGGAGGAAAUUCUUUUUCUCCACUUGGUGAACAAUAUGAUAACAAAUCUGGUCAAUGGUUUGGCUCACUAGUUCGUUCAUCUGGCGAUUCUGACAUUGUUUUGGCCUGUGCUCCAAGAUAUGUAUGGUUUUCGCGCAACUAUAAAAGACGAGAACCAGUUGGAAUAUGUCAUAUAGCCAAGAAAAAAUUGGAAAAGUUUUUUCAAUAUUCUCCUUGUAGUACCAGAAAAUGGGGUUAUCAUAGACAAGGCUCAUGCCAAGCAGGUUUUGGUGCUGAUAUAUCAAAUGACGGCAAAUAUGUUUUCAUUGGAGCUGUUGGCUCUUGGUACUGGCAAGGCCAAAUAUUUUCUCAGAAACUUGAUGAUUCUCAUCAUCAACAUAGAACUAAAGAAAGCGCUCCAAGUGAAGAUGAUUCUUAUCUGGGAUACUCAGUUACUACAGGAGAUUUUAAUGGAGACAAUGAAAAAAAUGAUAUUGCUGUUGGCAUGCCAAGGGGGGCCAAUUUAACUGGAAAAGUGAUUCUUUAUGAUGUUAAUAUGACUAAUUUGAACAACUUGACAGGCGAUCAGAUUGGUGCAUACUUUGGCUAUUCCGUUGCGUCAGGAGAUUUUGAUGGUGAUGGUAACGAUGAUAUUGCUAUUGGCGCUCCAAUGUGGACUAAUUAUCGAGUUAUGGGAAAGUUUGAAGUUGGAAGGAUUUAUAUUGUUUAUCAAAAUAAAGAAAACCGAUUUGUGAAAUGGAGUUCGAUUGUUGGUCAUAAUCACAAGGCUAGAUUUGGGUUGAGUGUUGCCUGUGCAGGCAAUCUUGAUCUAGAUGGUAUUCAAAAGAAUAAUCCAAAGGGAUAUCAAGAUCUUUUAGUUGGAUCUCCCUAUGAUGGAAAAGAUAACCGAGGGGCAUUAUACAUAUAUCUGGGAUCUUAUGAUGGCAUUAAACUUCAGUAUUCACAGGUUAUUUAUGCAAAUGAUAUUAGCAAUUCCAUCAAAACAUUUGGGUGGUCAAUUUCUGGUGGAAAUGAUUUAGAUGAUAAUCAAUAUCCUGAUGUUUUGGUUGGUGCAUAUGAUUCUUCUCAAGCAGUUUACCUUAAAUCAUCUCCUGUUAUUCAUCUCAACUCUGAUUUAAACUUUUUGGUUAAACAGAAACAAAUCAAUUUAGAAGAAAGAAAAUGCUCUCUUCGUAGUGGUAAAACACGAGUACCGUGUAUAGAUGUGGAAAUUCAACUUUCAUAUCAUGGAAUAGGCAUACCUAACCGCAUUCGAAUGGAGUUAUACUAUAUUCUUGAUGCCAAAAAGGACAGAUCUAAACGAAUGUUUUUUUUAGAGAAUGAGGGUCAAAGCGAAAAAAGACAAACUAUACAAAUUAUCAAAGGUCAAAUUUGGAAAAAAACUUUUACUGUCUACUUACUUCCAUCACGCCUACACGAUAAGCUAACUAGCUUAGAUUUGAAUAUAAAAUAUGUCAUGGAUGAACUUAGUAAUGUCGAAGGAAAAGAAGAAAUUCUUCCUGUACUUAGUCUCGAUGAUCGAAGUGUAACUGAUAGCAUUUCUAUCAAAAAAAAUUGUGGCGUCGACAAUGAAUGUAUUCCCAAUUUAUCAGUAUUUGCUUCCUCUUCUGACACUUAUACAAUCGGUUCAGACGAAAAACUUGAAAUUUCUACCCAUAUAAAAAAUUUGGGAGAAGAUGCAUACAACGCCUACCUGUAUUUAUCAGUACCUAAGGGAGUUAACUAUAUAAGGACAAAAACUUCAGAAGACAGCUCUAUUUCUGUGUUAUGUUCACCUCCAAACAAUGAUAACAAUAGAAGUCUGAAGUGUGAAAUCGGGAAUCCACUUCCAUCAAGUAGUCAAGUAAAAUUGAAUAUCAUGUUUCAACCAAUAGAUGAAGGACAUACAGAGGAAGAAUCUUUGAAGUUUUAUGAUUUUAUUUUAUCUGUUAAUAGUUCUAACCCUGAAGAAAGUUUCAAUAUGGAUAACAAUGAAAAAAAAAUUCUAAUAAAGAUCAAAGUUUUUGCCAAUUUAAAGCUUUCGGGUACUUCUAAACCGGAACAAGUUUCCUACAAUCUCAGUGGAUUGAUACCAAACAAAUACAUGAUAGAAGAUGAAAUAGGUGAAGAGAUUUAUCAUGUAUACGACGUAAAUAAUAAAGGACCAUCAACUGUUAAUGAAGCUGAUAUUUAUAUUAUGUGGCCAUCUUUUACUGAUAACUCUAAACAUUCAUUAUACCUAUUGGGAAUUGAAUAUGAUACAAACAGAGUUCAGUGCGAGCCAAUUGAUAAUAUAAACCCCUUGUACAUAAAGACAAUAGGUUCAAGAAAUUAUUCGAGAGUAAAAUCUAGUUUAAUGAAUUAUCAAUCGGAUGUAUUUGAAUGGUGGAUGCGGAAGCCAUUAACUUCAGAAAUACAAACAAAUAUUAUGAUUGAUAAUUUAAAAGAAGGCCUUUCCAUGCAUAAAGUCGAAGCAAAUAUUAAUAGAUUGAAUAAUUCAGAUUUUAAGUAUUUUCGUAUUUCCUCAAAUAGUCAAUCUUCUGAUACUAAUAAAAACAAACACUCAAGCAAUCACUUAUCUGAACACCAAAACAAAGAUGUUGUUUUAAAUAAUUCUAUUGAAGAGAAAAAAGUGCAAAUAAUUAACAAAUCUGAUGAAAACAAUGCUAUUGAUCAUAGUUUUAAUGAUUGGAGAAGACUUGAUAAUGGUUCUUAUAUACGAAUUUUUCAUAGACUUGAGUCUCCAAUUAAUUCACCGAAUGUAAAUAGUGACAAAAAUUUAGAACCAAAAAAUUUAACAUUAAACUUUCCUCAGAACAAUAUAUAUAUUUAUCCAAGAAAUAGUAGUUAUGAUAACGAAACAUUGAGUUACAACAAAGGCUUAAAUAAUAAUUUUGAUUCAUUAAAAUUAAAUGAUAAUACCCAAAUACCGAUCAGAAAAUCGAAUAUAGACUCUAAACAGCACUUACUUCAAUCUAUAUAUAUAAAUAAUAAUAUUGAUACACAUAAAUUUUCCAAUGAAGAUCAUCAAAUCCUUUUUCCUGAAACUGGAAAUUGGGAAUGGUCAGAACAGUUAAAUAAAUGGAAAUGGGUUGGAUCUCAAAAUUCAAAGCUCAUGCCUAAUAAAAAAUUACACUCAAUAGCUUCUAAUACUUUCAAAGAUCUCGAAUCAAAUCAACAAUAUAUGGGAAAAAUUUUUUUACCUCAUGAUGAUAUUAUGAAAGGAAUGUAUGAAUAUAAGAAGAAAGUGUAUCACAAACCUUCAGAAAUUAUAGGGUUCGACGUUCGUUGUCUAAAGAAGCAUUUGUAGAAGAGAUUGAACAAUGCAAUUCAAGAAAAUGUACAUUGAUUCAGUGUCGUGUUGGACCACUAAAAAAAGGUGAAAGUGUCGUUUUUCGAAUAAGAUCCCGUCUCUUUACUCAGUCUCAUAUUGAAGAUUAUAGAAAGAAAGUAUCAGUGUCCUCAAAGAUUUUAGCUCGAAUAACGAAACUCCCA